UUCUAUGUAUGAGCAAAGAAAGUGGUUUUUUGAGAUGGAAUCUACUCUUGGUGGAAAUGCUGCAAA
rnacentral:pre_miRNA from 1 species